AGUGAACGCUGGCGGUAGGCCUAACACAUGCAAGUCGAACGGCAGCACCGUAAGAGCUUGCUCUUACGGGUGGCGAGUGGCGGACGGGUGAGGAAUACAUCGGAAUCUACUUUUUCGUGGGGGAUAACGUAGGGAAACUUACGCUAAUACCGCAUACGACCUACGGGUGAAAGCAGGGGAUCUUCGGACCUUGCGCGAUUGAAUGAGCCGAUGUCGGAUUAGCUAGUUGGCGGGGUAAAGGCCCACCAAGGCGACGAUCCGUAGCUGGUCCGAGAGGAUGAUCAGCCACACUGGAACUGAGACACGGUCCAGACUCCUACGGGAGGCAGCAGUGGGGAAUAUUGGACGAUGGGCGAAAGCCUGAUCCAGCCAUACCGCGUGGGUGAAGAAGGCCUUCGGGUUGUAAAGCCCUUUUGUUGGGAAAGAAAAGCAGCAGGUUAAUCCCCCGCUGUUCUGACGGUACCCAAAGAAUAAGCACCGGCUAACUUCGUG
rnacentral:rRNA from 1 species